rnacentral:rRNA from 1 species
UGGGGAAUAUUGCACAAUGGGCGCAAGCCUGAUGCAGCCAUGCCGCGUGUGUGAAGAAGGCCUUCGGGUUGUAAAGCACUUUCAGCGAGGAGGAAGGUGGUGAGCUUAAUACGCUCAUCAAUUGACGUUACUCGCAGAAGAAGCACCGGCUAACUCCGUGCCAGCAGCCGCGGUAAUACGGAGGGUGCAAGCGUUAAUCGGAAUUACUGGGCGUAAAGCGCACGCAGGCGGUUUGUUAAGUCAGAUGUGAAAUCCCCGGGCUCAACCUGGGAACUGCAUUUGAAACUGGCAAGCUAGAGUCUCGUAGAGGGGGGUAGAAUUCCAGGUGUAGCGGUGAAAUGCGUAGAGAUCUGGAGGAAUACCGGUGGCGAAGGCGGCCCCCUGGACGAAGACUGACGCUCAGGUGCGAAAGCGUGGGGCAGCAAACAGGAUUAGAUACCCUGGUAGU